rnacentral:piRNA from 1 species
UUACAGAAGAGUUGGUGCAUAGGUAGGCAGU